rnacentral:misc_RNA from 1 species
UUAUUAUCAACCAUGUCUCGAUUCAUUUCGAUACAUCGGCUUGGACUUGGGAGCUGCUGGUGUGCCAUCUUAAAGGCUAUCAGCUCUUCUUAAAUAUAUUAGCGGUGGGUGGCUAGUCUUUUAGACGUGCACGGCCUUUUGACGUGAUAAUUCAUCUCAUCGUCAUGGCUGGAGCGACUUGGUUUAGACGAUGCCCAUUAGCCCAUAGCUUAUAAUAAUCAUAAUCGAUUCAAGCUUUAGUUACUAGUCGCUCGCCGGCGAACACAAAGCGUCCAGUCGAUUCCUUUACAC